UACAGAGGUGGCAAGCGUUAUUCGGAAUCACUGGGCUUAAAGCGCGUGUAGGCGGAUGAGCACGUCUGUCGCUGAAAUCCCCCGGCUCAACCGGGGAACGGGCGUGGAUACGGCUUGUCUGGAGGGGCGUAGGGGGACCUGGAACUUCCGGUGGAGCGGUGAAAUGCGUUGAGAUCGGAAGGAACGCCCGUGGCGAAAGCGAGGUCCUGGACGCCUACUGACGCUGAGACGCGAAAGCCAGGGGAGCGAACGGG
rnacentral:rRNA from 1 species